UACGUAGGGUGCGAGCGUUGUCCGGAAUUAUUGGGCGUAAAGAGCUCGUAGGCGGUCUGUCGCGUCGGUCGUGAAAACUUGGGGCUUAACCCUGAGCUUGCGGUCGAUACGGGCAUGACUGGAGUUCGGUAGGGGAGACUGGAAUUCCUGGUGUAGCGGUGAAAUGCGCAGAUAUCAGGAGGAACACCGGUGGCGAAGGCGGGUCUCUGGGCCGAUAUUGACGCUGAGGAGCGAAAGCGUGGGGAGCGAACAGG
rnacentral:rRNA from 1 species